GGAUGGCCCUAGGCUGUCCUGAGAAUUUCAUGUAUUUUAAUGCAUUCGUGUGAAAACCGCAAAGUUCUAUGUAUUUAAUGUAUUGUAUUCGUCUGAAUGUUAGGUAGUUUCAUUCCCUUAGUUUGUUCGAAUGAAAAUACCGAACAGUCAGACCUCCCUUGUGUGAAGUGUGUCCUCAAUUACCUGUUGCAACAUUGUUGCGAACGGGUAAUUGACAAGUUAAGUAGCCGUCCUUUGUUCUCGGGGGUGGCCGCCAUUCGAAAAACGAACACCGGUGUUUUGCCGUCGAGUGUCUGGAACUCAAAUCGGACACUCGACUAGGCGAACACCGCUGAAACCUCCACAAGCCCGGUCCGUUCGGUUCCUAACUACCGAACAGCCCCUCGUUCGGUUGAUAGAAAGAACCGAACGAGGCGAUUCAGGCGAACUCUCCCUAGCCUCUAUAGCUAGAGGUUUUCAUGCCAUUUUUUCCCUGACUCCAGGACCGACCGCAGGGCCCAUUCACAUGGAACCGCAUUCGGCUGUUUCACCCAGUGUGGUCGGUCAUUGUAUUCCCUCCAUAAAUUUCCCGAACCCCUGGUCUGAUGUGGGUAAUUUUUGGAUAUGUUGUUCACCCAGAUCAGGGCUACCAGGGGAUGUAUCAUUUAAAGGGGUACCCCUAUGUUUAGGGGUACAUCCAGAAAGGGGGGGGGGGAAUUGCUGUACUGGAUAAGGGGAUUAUGAUGCCGGCUGAGGGGAGGAGAUGUGUGGGAGGUUACCAGGACAGGAUUGGCUACUGUAUUAAUGAAUGUAAUCCCUCCCUUGCAUGGGAGCAUGCUUUAAAAGGCCAGUGUGGAAUAAAGCUUUCAGUUCUGCUCCUGAAA